GGGGCUAUAGCUCAGCUGGGAGACGCCUGCUUUGCACGCAGGAGGUCUGCGGUUCGAUCCCGCAUAGCUCCACCA
rnacentral:tRNA from 1 species